GACGAAGGAUGCAAGCGUUAUCCGGAUUCAUUGGGUUUAAAGGGAGCGUAGGCGGACUUAUAAGUCAGUGGUGAAAUCUCUGGGCUUAACUCAGAAACUGCCAUUGAUACUGUAGGUCUAGAGUACAUUUGCUGUGGGCGGAAUAUGACAUGUAGUGGUGAAAUACUUAGAUAUGUCAUAGAACACCGAUUGCGAAGGCAGCUCACAAAAAAUGUAACUGACGCUGAGGCUCGAAAGUGCGGGGAGUCAAAACAGG
rnacentral:rRNA from 1 species